rfam:Drosophila persimilis strain MSH-3 cont1.018691, whole genome shotgun sequence.
GUCCACUGGCAUAGUAGACUGAAUACAUUCGUUCUCGUCCGAUCACCGUAAGUAAGCAGCGUCGGGCGCGGUUAGUACUUAGAUGACGGAUCGCUAGGGAACACCGCGUGUUGUUGCGC